rnacentral:snoRNA from 1 species
CCCUCCUACAAAGGAGUGGCUGAGGUUUCCUGUCCUUGGACACAUAAGAAUUGGAGGCAAAGAGAUGUGAACUUGGAAAGUCUGGAGCCAGCUUGCUCCCUGCCCGCCUCAGGAUCACCCUUUCCCACACAG